UGACUGUUAACCUCUGCAGGGCUGCAGGAUGGAAAUGCUGUGAGGAGGACAACUGGAGUAGAAGGAGGAGACAUCACAGCUUCAGGGACUCCAAAGCCAUUCUGGUUUCUGCAUAGUUUUACAUCAUCAUGGUUUAUCCCACCAACCUUGAAAACAACUCCUUCAGUCCAGACUUCCUCACCUUCUUCCUCUGAAACCACCUUCUCUGAGACGCCAGCUGCAGCUUCUGCUUCAACCACUUCAGAACCAAACUGGAUCCUGCAAACUUUUCCAUCAACAUUAGUGAUGUCACCUUCUGUAACAACAGCAGCAACAUUAACUCAAAGGUUGAGUUCUUCCUCUUCCUCCUCUUCAUCUGAAAUCACCCAGCAGACCAGAACAUCACCUGAAC